rnacentral:rRNA from 1 species
AUGCCGAAACAUAUGCCGAAAGGAGGCAUCGCCGACGACGGUUCCAAGACCGCCGAGCAGAGCUCGGCUGAGGACACCCGUGCGGCGGACGCGCUCGCGCUGCGAGGCAGGCCGGGAGGUGAGCUGGGUGCGCCACGCUCCGUGCGAGAUGUGGGCAUGUCCAGUACCUCCUUCCCUCUCCUCACGCGGACCAACUACCCCAGUUGGUCCGUCAUGAUGAAAGUCAUCAUGGAGGCGCGGCAUAUGUGGAAAGCCGUGGAAACCGGCGAUGUCGAGUACGAGGAGGACCGGCUGGCGAUGGAGGCGAUCUUGCGCUCCGUCCCAGAGGAGAUGGUGCUCACCCUUGGCGCCAAGAAGACGGCCAAGGAAGCAUGGGAGACCAUCAAGACUCUGCGCAUCGGCGUGGAGCGCGUACGGGAGUCGAAGGCCCAGACCUUGCGCCUCCAGUACGAGGAGAUCCGGUUCAAGGCCGGCGAACAAGUCGACGACUUCGCCUUGCGGCUGCAAGGUCUCGUCAACGAGCUCGCAACGCUUGGAGAUCCCAUCGACAACAAGAUGGUGAUUCUCAAGUUUCUCCGCGUCGUCCCCAGGCAGUACAAGCAACUGGCCUGGUCCAUCGAGAGCUUGGUUGAUCUCUCCACCAUGACGAUCGAGGAGCUGGUAGGGCGGCUGAAGGUCGUCGAGGAGCGCGGUGAAGACGCCAACAACCGUGCUGGCGGCGAACUACUGCUCACCAGGGAGCAGUGGGACGUGCAGCUUCAGCAGCGCGGCCGCGACGGCUCUUCCGGCAGUGGGGGAGGCACCCCCACGGGAAGCAGAGGUCGCGGCAGAGGCGGAGGCCGCGCCCAAAGCGGUGGCGGCAACCGCGGUCGCAGGCCAAGCCAGGCAGGGCGAGGCGCUGGCAACGGUGGCAAGUGCCGCUACUGCAACAUGCCGGGUCACUGGAUCCGGGAUUUCCACAGGAGGAAAGCCGACGAGGCAGCCGCGGCAACGGCAAACCUCGUCCAGGCUGACGUGGAUGGUGGGCCGGCAAUGAUGCUGGCAAGAGUCGAGCCCGUGCAGGAGAGCUCAGCGUCUCCCACGACCACGGCCCCGGCAUCCACCCAUUCCGUGGAGGAGGCACGGAGCCCGUCCACGGGAACCAUCACUCCAGUGACAGGCCACAUCUUGACAACGACGUUCUCGGGGCCUGUCGACUGGGAGGCGAUGAAGGCUCGGGUGUGGGGGAGCCACACCCCAGCGACGGCGUCCCCGACAACCUCGGGACCCGACAAGAUCGCGCAAGUUGGCGCGGCAACGACGCAUAUGGCGGACCAUGCUCCGACCAUGAUGCUGGCGACCAUCGACUCCGUGCAGGAGCGCACGGAGACUCAAGUCAGCCACACCCCGACAACAAAGUGUUCGGGGUCCACCGUGUUGUCAGGAGAUGGCUCCCUGACAACGGCAUGUGCGUGCGGCUACGUCUUCCUCAACGAGGAGAGAGCCUUGACCACACCCACGCUUGCAGGCGGCAAGCAAAGUGAGGGUUGGUUCCUCGACACCGGCGCCAUGAACCACAUGACUGGUUCCAUCGACGCGUUCGCGGAGCUAGACCGCUCAAUCACCGGGAAGGUGCAGUUCGCGGACGGAUCCGUGGUGGAGAUCCACGGGCGCGGGACCGUCGUCUUCGCCGACAAAGGGGGUGAUCACAGGGCGUUCACGGACGUCUACUUCAUCCCGGCGCUCACGAGCAGCGUCGUGAGUGUCGGACAACUCGACGAGGGCUGGUUCGACAUCGGCAUCCGGCGCGGUGUUCUCACCGUGCACGACCAGUAG